rnacentral:rRNA from 1 species
UACGGAGGGUGCAAACGUUGCUCGGAAUCAUUGGGCGUAAAGCGCACGUAGGCGGCCUGAUAAGUCGGGUGUGAAAGCCCUGGGCUCAACCCAGGAAGUGCACUCGAAACUGUCAGGCUUGAAUAUGGAAGAGGGUCGCGGAAUUCCUGGUGUAGCGGUGAAAUGCGCAGAUAUCAGGAGGAACACCGGUGGCGAAGGCGGGUCUCUGGGCCGAAAUUGACGCUGAGGAGCGAAAGCGUGGGGAGCAAACAGA